rnacentral:rRNA from 1 species
UGGGGAAUUUUGGACAAUGGGCGAAAGCCUGAUCCAGCAAUGCCGCGUGUGUGAAGAAGGCCUUCGGGUUGUAAAGCACUUUUGUCCGGAAAGAAAUCCUUGGCUCUAAUACAGUCGGGGGAUGACGGUACCGGAAGAAUAAGCACCGGCUAACUACGUGCCAGCAGCCGCGGUAAUACGUAGGGUGCAAGCGUUAAUCGGAAUUACUGGGCGUAAAGCGUGCGCAGGCGGUUUGCUAAGACCGAUGUGAAAUCCCCGGGCUCAACCUGGGAACUGCAUUGGUGACUGGCAGGCUAGAGUAUGGCAGAGGGGGGUAGAAUUCCACGUGUAGCAGUGAAAUGCGUAGAGAUGUGGAGGAAUACCGAUGGCGAAGGCAGCCCCCUGGGCCAAUACUGACGCUCAUGCACGAAAGCGUGGGGAGCAAACAGGAUUAGAUACCCUGGUAGUCCACGCCCUAAACGACGUCAACUAGUUGUUGGGGAUUCAUUUCCUUAGUAACGUAGCUAACGCGUGAAGUUGACCGCCUGGGGAGUACGGUCGCAAGAUUAAAACUCAAAUGAAUUGACGGGGUCAUAGCUGUUUCCU